GAUGAAGAACGUAGCGAAAUGCGAUACGUAAUGUGAAUUGCAGAAUUCAGUGAAUCAUCGAAUCUUUGAACGCACAUUGCGCCUGCCAGCACUCUGGCAGGCAUGCCUGUUCGAGCGUCAUUUCAACCAUCAAGCCCUAGGCUUGCGUUGGAGCCCUGCGGCUGCCGCAGGCCCCUAAAAGCAGUGGCGGGCUCGCUAUCACACCGAGUGCAGUAGAUUACUCUUCGCUCAGGGCGUGUGGCGGGUUCCAGCCGUGAAACCCCCUACUUCUCACGGUUGACCUCGGAUCAGGUAGGAAUACCCGCUGAACUUAAGCAUAUCAAUAAGCGGAGGA
rnacentral:misc_RNA from 1 species